GCUAUUGGCCUGGCAGACCUAAUUGCCAGCCACAUUGCUUCUGAACAUCACUCUGUGCUUUUUCUCCAUAUUAGUUAUUUCCUUCCAUAUCUGUUGCAAGCUCUUCCCACUGUUGCUUCUAUGUUUGGAUCAAGCAAGAAGCUCCAUCCAUUUCAUCCUAUGCAGGGGAGGUAGCAACAGAGACACUGACUCUCACAUGCUUCCUGGUACGUCUUUGAAAUACUGUAAAUACAGAAAGCAUCACAAGACCCUCCUGACGCACAGAUGUCUGGAGUGAAGGACACUUGACUCGAACACAAGCAGCAUAAAAAUGGCCACUCAGACCCAGCAGUUUCUAGAAGGUGGAAAAGGCCAGCAAUGAAGUUUCUGGCAUAAAGACUCAAUGGCAUGCUUCCUGAAGAACAGAGGAAAAUAACAAAAAAAGGACCAGAAGAAAACAGGAAGAUGGGAUUGUCCAAUGCCUGUGUAAAGGUGCCCUCUGUUUCAAAACCAGCCCACUACAAGUCCAGUUGCCUAAGAAGAAAACAAUGCAGGGCUUUUGAAAUUGACCAGUGUUGCAUUUCUAUGUAGCCAUGACGCCAGGGUGUGAACCUCCAGCUUCACUAAAUAUCCAUCUGUCUGGCCUGCCAGAGGAGAAGCUCAAUGGCCAUCGAUCUCACCUGGCUGUUUUUGUCCAGAGGAUGCUCUUAUUUCUUGGCGGAGACUAUGGAGGAUGGGAGAAGAAAGCUGAAGAAGGUACCUCUGUACAUGUGCAUGCAUGUCCACCCCAUCAGACACUCACUUCUUUUGUCCCAGCUUCUCUCAGGAUUUUCCAGAUAGAGACUAUUCAGAAGUGGUUUACCA